AAACUGAAGAGUUUGAUCAUGGCUCAGAUUGAACGCUGGCGGCAGGCUUAACACAUGCAAGUCGAGCGGUAACAGGUCCAGCUUGCUGGAUGCUGACGAGCGGCGGACGGGUGAGUAAUGCAUAGGAAUCUGCCCAGUAGUGGGGGAUAACCUGGGGAAACCCAGGCUAAUACCGCAUACGCCCUACGGGGGAAAGCAGGGGAUCUUCGGACCUUGCGCUAUCGGAUGAGCCUAUGUCGGAUUAGCUAGUUGGUAGGGUAAUGGCCUACCAAGGCGACGAUCCGUAGCUGGUCUGAGAGGAUGAUCAGCCACAUCGGGACUGAGACACGGCCCGAACUCCUACGGGAGGCAGCAGUGGGGAAUAUUGGACAAUGGGGGCAACCCUGAUCCAGCCAUGCCGCGUGUGUGAAGAAGGCCUUCGGGUUGUAAAGCACUUUCAGCGAGGAAGAAGGCCUGGUGGCCAAUACCCACCAGGAAGGACAUCACUCGCAGAAGAAGCACCGGCUAACUCCGUGCCAGCAGCCGCGGUAAUACGGAGGGUGCGAGCGUUAAUCGGAAUUACUGGGCGUAAAGCGCGCGUAGGUGGCUUGAUAAGCCGGUUGUGAAAGCCCCGGGCUCAACCUGGGAACGGCAUCCGGAACUGUCAGGCUAGAGUGCAGGAGAGGAAGGUAGAAUUCCCGGUGUAGCGGUGAAAUGCGUAGAGAUCGGGAGGAAUACCAGUGGCGAAGGCGGCCUUCUGGACUGACACUGACACUGAGGUGCGAAAGCGUGGGUAGCAAACAGGAUUAGAUACCCUGGUAGUCCACGCCGUAAACGAUGUCGACUAGCCGUUGGGUCCCUCGCGGACUUUGUGGCGCAGUUAACGCGAUAAGUCGACCGCCUGGGGAGUACGGCCGCAAGGUUAAAACUCAAAUGAAUUGACGGGGGCCCGCACAAGCGGUGGAGCAUGUGGUUUAAUUCGAUGCAACGCGAAGAACCUUACCUACCCUUGACAUCCUGCGAAGCGAGAGAGAUCUUGGUGUGCCUUCGGGAACCGAAAGACAGGUGCUGCAUGGCUGUUCGUCAGCUCGUGUUGUGAAAUGUUGGGUUAAGUC
rnacentral:ncRNA from 1 species